UUAGGAAUAUUGGACAAUGGGGGAAACCCUGAUCCAGCCAUGCCGCGUGUGUGAAGAAGGCCUUAGGGUUGUAAAGCACUUUCGGCUGUGAAGAUAAUGACAGUAGCAGAAGAAGAAGCCCCGGCUAAAUUCGUGCCAGCAGCCGCGGUAAUACGAAUGGGGCGAGCGUUGUUCGGAAUCACUGGGCGUAAAGCGUACGCAGGCGGUCAUGAAAGUCAGGAGUGAAAUCCCAGGGCUUAACCCUGGAAUGGCUCUUGAAACUCCAUGACUAGAGUACUGGAGAGGUUAGCGGAAUUCCGAGUGUAGAGGUGAAAUUCGCAGAUAUUCGGAGGAACACCAAUGGCGUAGGCAGCUAACUGGACAGUAACUGACGCUCAUGUACGAAAGCGUGGGGAUCAAA
rnacentral:rRNA from 1 species